rnacentral:tRNA from 1 species
UCCCUGGUGGUUUAGUGGCCAGGAUUCAGCAUUUCCCCCUGCCUCGGUCUUGACUUCUGUCUCUGGCCAGAAACCA